rnacentral:rRNA from 1 species
UACAGAGGGGGGCAAGCGUUAUUCGGAAUUAUUGGGCGUAAAGGGCGCGUAGGCGGCCUGACAAGUGGAAGGUGAAAUCCCUCGGCUUAACCGAGGAACUGCCCUCCAAACUGUUUGGCUUGAGACCGGGAGAGGUGAGUGGAAUUCCCAGUGUAGCGGUGAAAUGCGUAGAUAUUGGGAGGAACACCAGUGGCGAAGGCGGCUCACUGGACCGGUACUGACGCUGAGGCGCGAAAGCGUGGGGAGCAAACAGG